rnacentral:rRNA from 1 species
UGGCAACGGGAGAGCAAUACAUUGGUCAUCUACCCUGUACUCGUGAAUAACGCAGAGAAAUUUGUGCUAAUACACGAUAAUGAUGAGGGGACGCAAGUCAUUCUCAUUUAAAGCUCCGGCGGUACGGGAGGAGCCUAUGCACUAUCAGCUUGUUGGUGAGGUAAAAGCUCACCAAGGCUAUGACGGUUACCGGGCGUGAGAGCGUGACCCGGCUCACUGGGACUGAGACACUGCCCAGACUCCUACGGGGGGCUGCAGUCGAGAAUCUUCCACAAUGCACGAAAGUGUGAUGGAGCAAUGCCGCGUGUCGGAUGAAGGCUUUCGGGUCGUAAACGACUGUUCUGAGGGACGAAUUUGUGACGGUACCUCAGCAGAAAGGGGUUGCUAACUCUGUGCCAGCAGCAGCGGUAAUACAGAGACCCCGGGCGUUAACCGGAUUUAUUGGGCGUAAAGCGUGCGCAGGCGGUUUUGUAAGUCAUAUGUUAAAUCUUCAGGCUCAACCUGGAGGCUGCGUGUGAUACUGCAAAACUAGAAUAUGGGAGAGGUCGGCGGAAUGCCCAGUGUAGGGGUAAAAUCCGUUAAUAUUGGGUAGAACACCGAAAGCGAAGGCAGCCGACUGGAACAUUACUGACGCUGAUGCACGAAAGCGUGGGUAGCGAAUGGGAUUAGAUACCCCAGUAGUCCACGCCGUAAA